AACGAACGCUGGCGGCAUGCCUAACACAUGCAAGUCGAACGAGACCUUCGGGUCUAGCGGCGCACGGGUGCGUAACGCGUGGGAACCUGCCUUUAGGUUCGGAAUAACUCAGAGAAAUUUGAGCUAAUACCGGAUAAUGUCUUCGGACCAAAGAUUUAUCGCCUUUAGAUGGGCCCGCGUUGGAUUAGCUAGUUGGUGGGGUAAAGGCCUACCAAGGCGACGAUCCAUAGCUGGUCUGAGAGGAUGAUCAGCCACACUGGGACUGAGACACGGCCCAGACUCCUACGGGAGGCAGCAGUGGGGAAUAUUGGACAAUGGGCGAAAGCCUGAUCCAGCAAUGCCGCGUGAGUGAUGAAGGCCUUAGGGUUGUAAAGCUCUUUUACCCGAGAUGAUAAUGACAGUAUCGGGAGAAUAAGCUCCGGCUAACUCCGUGCCAGCAGCCGCGGUAAAGUGAC
rnacentral:rRNA from 1 species